AAAGUCGUAACAAGGUUUCCGUAGGUGAACCUGCGGAAGGAUCAUUAUUGAUUUUUUUAGGGAUGUGCUGGCGUCCCUACCCGGGUUGCAUGUGCACUCCUCACAAAAACCGAUAUUCCCACACCUGUGCAUCCUGAGUAGGCAAAAAAGGGACUUUUUGUGUUCCUCUUUGUCUAUGUUCUCUUUUAUUACAAACACUUGAUUUAUUUGAAUGAUCUAUUAUAAAAUACACAAUUGUAAUACAACUUUCAACAAUGGAUCUCUUGGUUCUC
rnacentral:misc_RNA from 1 species